rnacentral:tRNA from 1 species
GCGCUGCUAGCUCAACAGGUAGAGCAACCGGCUCUUAACCGGUGGGUUCGGGGUUCGAGUCCCCGGUGGCGCA